GAUCUUGUUAUAGAUCAGUAUAAAAAAAUUUGUAUCAAAAUUUCAUCUUAUUUGAUAUUCUACACCGUUAAAACUUGAAAACGGCAGAUAUCAACCAUUAAAAAUUAUGAAUUUGAAUCCUUUCGAUCACUAGGUAAAUGAUAUCAAAAAAUCGCAAAAAAUUAUUUUCAGAACUUCAAUGCGCUAGAUCAAGUCUAACGGAGCCGAUCGUCGAUUCGAAAAUUCCUCAUCGAAAACGGCUCAGGACACGGAGGCCUCCGUGCUCCUGAGCACAGCAGCCUUCGCUUCUCUCUCUCUCUCUCUCUCUCUCGUUCUUCUCUGGCUCUUCUCGCUCUAUAUAUAUAUAUAUAUAUAUAUAUAUAAUUUGUAUAAUUUGAAUUGUCCUUUACGAAAUUAUUAAAUUUUGCAUCAUAAAUUAGUUCCAUAUUUUAUAUUACCCCACCAUUAGAAGCAAAGUUGAAAAGGUUGCACUGCACGGUAUGUGGCCAUGUGGGUAGUGGCAUGCACCUUUUUGACUACAUAACCUGGACCCAACCCUGAUGCAGCACCUAACUAUGUACUGCACCACUUUUAUUACUGUCACUUCAUGGCAAUUUAAUAUGUGGGGGGACCCAAAUGUUCCUCCUAGUCCUGGUCAGAGGAAUAUUACAUUGUUGAUGGGGACUCUCUACUGCACCAUUUAUUUGUGAUAGAGGAAUAUUGCGGUGGCAAUGAUAUCCUCGACAGUACAUGUUUUCUAAUGUUUCAAAAAAUAUUUUAUAUAUAUAUAUAUAUUAGAAAUAAUCACUUAUAUAUUUUUCAGUCAAGAAAAAGGAUUUGCAAGCCAACAAUUCAUAACAAAAUAGAAAAGCAAAAAUACCCACCACUUGCAAAUACUUCUUUUUGCUUCUAACUUAGAACCAAAUAAGAAUUUUUUUUUUUUUUGAGAGAUAGCCAGAUAGGUAGCACGCUACUCGCUUCGUUUGUUUCAUUUAGAAAUAAACUUAAUUGAAAAUGUGAAUCAACUAGGAUUUGAACUUGGGACCUCGGGUAUCAACCACCAAGCCUUUUGCUACUUGCUCUAGGGGCGGUCAGUCCAAAUAAGAAAAGUUGAUUAAGAUAGAAGGAUAUGUUUGAAAGGGCAAAAUAGAAACUUCGAUAGAAACUUCGUAUAGAUAACGGUUGUUCCUGACUCUAGGAGUAUAUUUGAAAGAAAGCGGAAGGUUAAGAAACUAUUUUACUCUUUCUAAUGAACUAUUUAUGGUUUUUAUCAAGCAUAAAAAUAAGAAUACUAACUAAUUCAUGAUAAUUUAGUAUUCCUCCAACCUAGAAAUCUAUAAUGAUUUCAUUACUUCACAAACACGUUUUACAACUAUCCAACGAGUUGAAUGAUAAUAAUUUGAAUAUUUUUAAUAAAAAGUACAAAGGAUUAUUGGAAUAUUGCAAACCGUAAAUUAAACGGGUUGUAGAGUGCGUUUGGUUCGUGCUAUUGUGUUAGGAUUAUUAGAGAAUUUAUAAGAAUAUUUAAAGUUACUGUAUUUGAUUCAUGCCGCAUGUAAUUGUAUUAGUAAUAUAAGAUUGCUUUUUUUCUUUUUUUUUUUUGAAAGAUAGGUAGCACGCUGCCCGCUUCGUUUAUUUCAUUUGGAAAUAAACUUAGCUAGAAAUGUAAAUCAACUAGGAUUCGAACUUAGGUCUCGGAUAUCAACCACCAAGCCCUUUAACACUUGCUCUAGGGACGGUCGGUAGUAAUAUAAGAUUGCUAAUAGCCAUUGGCUUAUGCAUAUAUAUAUCUCAGUGGGGUCCAUUGACCCUAUUGAGAUGAUGGCAAAAACCAUCUUUUGUGGACCCCACUUACGAAAAAAAAACUCUUUAGUUGGGUUUGAUUUGUAUAAAUUAACCUCUCUUUGGAGCCCAAGUUGAUCCCAAGUGGGGUCCAACAAAAUAUUUGUAUUAGACAAAAAUAUUAUAGCAAAUUUGAUAACCUGUUAACUUUUUUUUUCCCCUCUAAUUAUAAAAAAUAGAAAAAAAAAUCUUUUCCUCUAAACAUUGGCGAAUGUAUAUACAUGUCACAUCUUAGUGGAGUCCCUUAACCCCACUGAGAUGAUGUAAAAAACUAUUUUUGUGGGCCCCAUUUGGAAAAAAAAACUCUUUAGUUGAGUUUGAUUUGUAUAAAUUUCUUUGGGGUCCAAGUUGAUGUCAAAUGGGGUCCAACAAAACUUUUGUAUUAGACAAAAGUAUUAUAACGAAUCCGAUAACCCGUUUAUAUUUUUUUUUUUUUUGUUAGCAAUAGCAAAAAAACCUAGCCUCCUUUAUCCUACGUAAUUUUCCUCUUUAUCUCUCCCAAUUAUAUUGAAUCUAAUUAACAUAUUGAUCAAUAUUUUAAAGGCCAAAUCCAAUUCUAUUUAGGUGCCAAUAUAUUUCUUUUCUUCCAUUUUUUUAAUUGAAAUGCAAAAUAUAAGGUAUGUGUAUGGAUCUUUAUUUGCUUUUUUUUAAAUUGUGAAUUUGUUCUUUUUAUAUGAAAUGAAUAGAAGUUAUUUUAUAUUGUCAUUAUGGUAUAUAAAAGUACAAUAACUAAGUACAUUAGAGAUUUUUAUUUACAUGUACUUGAUAAGUAUUGUUAUUUGCGAAUUAUUAAUAUUAUUAUUUAUUUUUUUAUUUUUGUUGGCUAUUGACAUAUGAUGAUUAAUUUAAUGUUGUUUGUAAGAAACUAAUUUAUUUAUCACUAAUUUUUGCUAAUGAAUAUGGAGAAAUUUUUAGAAAGAGAAGCCCCUUCUAGUUGUUUUCAACAAAAGUCAUCUCAAACUCAAAAAAGGGAAAGUGAAAACCUAGCAGGUUUGAUUGCAAUGCGCACCAAUUUUCUUACAAGGGAAGCGAAUUUCAUCUAAAUACCUUUCCUGCUGAUCUUGUAGAUAGGAAAAGAAUAUUAGACUACCAUCCAAAUAUUCGUGAUGAAAUUAGAAGAGCAUACCUACAAAAAGUUGGUUGAGACGAAGAAGUAUAUAGUGUAUUCGCGAGUUUAUUUGCUUUCGAAGUUGGCAUUAAUUCUACCUGUUGCUAUCGCCACAGUGGAAUUAAAGAUCUUUUUCUAUGAUGAAUUUUAUAAAGAAUAAAUUGUGCCAUCAUAUGUGUUAUCAACUAAUGAACGAUUGUUCAGUGACUUAUAUAUAAAAAGAUAUAUUUGACAGUGUUUCCAAUGAGGCUAUUAUGUACCAUUUUCAGAAUAUGAAGACACGUCGAGAACAAUUGUAAAAGAAAUGAUUUUUUUUUUUUAUACAAUACUAAGAACUAGUUUAUUUUUUUAUUACUUUUUGGUUUUUUUUUUUCUUAUAUAUUAACCCCAUACGAGAAAAUCUUUAGAUCCGCCACUGCUAAUAGCAAAUGAUAUGCUCAAAAAAUAUUACAGAAAAGGAGGAUGGAUAUAUUAUAUUACUGGUUAUAGUUUAUCCUAAACUUAUGUAAAGCUACAAAUUAUCUCUCUCCACCACCCAAACCAUUUCUCACCUCUUAUUUCAAUCGUAAAGAGUACGUUCCUUUUGAUAAUUAAGUUCACAACGGAAGUAAGGAUCUACCUUGUGAUAAGAUUGAGCAAUAUACCGCCUAGAGGGGGGGACGAUAAAUGCUUGAGAAUAAAAAACAAUUCUUGGAUAGUAUUUUGAAAGCAUAUUGCGUAGUGCAUCAAUUAUGAUGCAGUUUUAUACUAUUAUGAAGGAAAAUACAAAAAAUAAGCAAGAACAGCAAAAAUUCAACUGCAGUCACAAUGAAACUAUUUAAGACAAUUCUCUUAUUCUCUUAUAGAAACUAUUCAGCUGCAGUCACAAGAAUAGAUGCUUGAGAAUAAAAAUAAUUCUCUUAGACAAUUUUUUGAAAACAUGGUGUGUAGUGCAUCAAUUAUGAUGCAGUUUUAUGCUAUAUAUUAUGCAUGAAAAUACAAGAAAUAAGCAAGAAUAGCAAAAAUUUAGUUGCAAUCACCAAGAAACUAUUUAAGACUCACAAAAACCUUAAUCAAACACCAGCACAAAAACCACAACAGUAAAUAUACAAUUGAAAUGGCGAAUGUGGUACAAGAUAUUACGUGAAACACCCUAAUUCAAGGGAGAAAAACCACCGGACAAUCAAGAACAAUUUCAUUAGGGCAAAAAUAGAGUUACAAAGGUGGUAAAGACUCUAUACCAAUACCACCGUAGUCCAACAAUGACAAAAAGGCAUGCAUCCAUGCUCCACUAACUCUUUUAUGAUAUAUCAAAAUAAAGUCACAUGCAAUCCAUACCCUGCUCAAUUCAGAGCCUCAACUACAUCCGUUAGGGUUUGGUGGUUGGUACUUGAGACCCAAGUUCGAAUCCUAGUUGAUUCACAUUUCUUGCUAAGUUUAUUUCUAAAUGAAAUAAACGAAGCGUAUAGCGUGUUACCUAUCUCUCAAAAAAAAAAAAAAAAACUACAUCCGUUAGGCAUGCCAAAUCUAUGGCCGCUCACCUCCAUGAACCUCUAAGCACCCGAAUUCUAAAGCAGUGUAUGGAGAGAUGCAGUGGGAUGAUUCCUAAUCUCUACUAUGAUGAAGCUUUCUAAUAAACUAGAGAUUUAGGAUGGGUGAUUAGAAAAGAGAACCAAAGAAUUAACAAAAAUCAGGUUAUAGUUUCUCUCUCUAGGGAGCUGCAGUUUUUGGGGAGGAAGAAGAUAGGCUUCUAGAUGAAAAGGCUCCAAAAUAGUUAAGAAAAGUUCCACCUUACCCCAGAAGAAAUGGUCUAUUUAUAUGCUAGAGCCUAAAUAGGUCAAUCCAUAAGUGACCACGUUACCGACCGUCCCUAGAGCAAGUGGCAAAGGACUUGGUGGUUGGUACCCGAGACCCAAGUUCGAAUCCUAAUUGAUUCACAUUUCCAGCUAAGUUUAUUUCUAAAUGAAAUAAACGAAGGGGGUAGCGUGCUACCUAUCUCUCUCACAAAAAAAAAAAAGAAAAAAAAGUGACCACGUUGUCAUGGACUUAGGUAAAAUCCCUUGUCAAGCCCAUACGGUGCUCAUCUUCCUUCGCAAAGUGAGCAAGCCUAUCUGUCCGCUUGCUAGCUCGGACCUAUUCGUCCUAUGACUGAGUGCAAACGAGUGAGAGUUUGGAGGAAUGUAGUAUGCUAUUACUUGAGAAUAGAAAGAGUACACUUGAGCUAUCCUAAAAGGGUGGAGGCCAUAAAUAUCUAUAGGCCAUUUAGCGCCCAAUAAAGCAAAUAGAAAGUCACCAAGUGGCACAAAGUUGCAAGCCAAAACUGGAGGCUAUGAGCUCCCAACAGCUUACAUUUGUUACGUCUUCUAGAAACCCUAAGGGACACAUGACUCUUCGGCUUCUAGCAGAUGCUUUUUAUGACUCUGCCAAAAUCUUUGGUAGCAAUCUUCUUUGGAUUUGGGAUGAUUAGUGGAAAAUUGAAAAUCCCUAACAACAUGCGAGUCAGCUGACUAGCAAGCUACUAUUAAGUUGUUUCAUUCAAGUUGAAACAACUUUCUAGUAAUCAAUUGUCUUUUUAGAAUAGUCCAUGGCAAUGUGUUUGUCGUGUUUGGAUUUGCAGCAAAAGCCAUCAGGCACGUAAACAGUCCUUCCAGAUGCAAAAGGCACACAUCAUACACCCGAAGCGAAUAGCAAUGACCUGUCAACAAUCCUAGAAGUCCACUACUAAAUAGGCAUUAGAGUAUGUAAAAUAAGCAACAAGUAUAACAACAUAUAUAAAUAUCCACUAUCUGAUAACAUCAACAUCAAAUACAUAUAUAUAUAUAUAUCAUCUCCAAUAACCAAAAUAUAAAUACAAACAAACUCAGCACUAUCCUCGUCAAAACAUCACAUCAUGCUGCUAUACAAACAUUAUCUACAGGGGCAUCCUUUAAAUGUCAUAUAUCUAGUAGAUAAUGCUACCUAGCUCGUCAUCUCCUUACCUCAAUCUGUAGUUGCAACUAGUGCUGAAGGCUUUGAAAGAGAAUCAACAAAAAAGAGCGUGAGAACUAUAAUCAAUAGUUCCUAGGGGUAAGAGUAGUAAAUGACGACCUACGCUACUAGGUCUAUCAGAGGCAAGAGUAGUAAAUGAACUGUAAAUUAGCAAGUAACAGAGAAUAAUAUGAACAAAAAAAUAAAGAACUAUCAUACCUCUAUUUGUGUUUGUGGAAAUCAAUGGAUAGUAGUCAUGUCUCUACCGGCUAGCUUAUGUCAAGAAUAGUAAACAAAUAUCAUAUGCGUCAACUAAGGAAUCUCAUAGGCAAAUCAUAAGACCCAAUCACACCGGCUAGCUUAUAGGUCUGGCCAAGCCUGCACCGCCAUAUGCCUGGUAAAUCACACUUACCUAGUCGCCUAGCCCGUAUGCGUACACCUAGCACAUCUAGUUAGCUGCCAUAGCUCCGGAGGGACACUUGUGGGACGUGACCCUACCGAGUAGCACAAUAUAUCUUAUCGUUCGUAACUGAUCUCAAUCCAACUCAAGAUAGGCUAUGGUCAUGUAAGAUGAUAAAACAGAUCAUAACAAUAUUAUCCAAGUGCCCUCAAUCAUAAUCAUAUACCAUAUGUCCCACUAUCUAUUUGUAAUCUUUUUAGCAAUUUAUAGAUUUUUUAUGUAUCACAGUAUAUCAACAAGAAUGAUAUGUAACAGGGGUUAGGACUGUCAACUCACCUAAACAUCACACCAUCUAUAUUAAGUAAUCCUAGAUAUAGAUACAUGGAUAUACAAAAAGUAAACAACUACAAAUAUAGUGAUGCUAAUAGGUAUCAAAGAAUCGUAAUAAGUAAGGAAUAGACAUAAUGAGUAGUUCACGUGUUCGACGAUAUGGAACCCACGUAAAUCAGCAUCUCCGAAGAAAAUCAAGGAGCACCAGUAUUUCACAAAAUUACGGCAAAAUCAACUACUAAGACACAGUUUUAUCAUUCUCAUUAUUGCGAAAAUCACAGCUAUAAAAAUUGCAACCGAAAUACAAUUCAUAUUUUACCUAGUGAAUGGCAUUUAUGAAUUUGUCGCGUCGAUCACGAACUCACAAAAUUAAGGUUCCUUCUUUCUCUUUCUUCCUCUCUCUAUCUCCCUCAUAUUCUCUCUCUCUCUCUCUCUUCAUGCCAAAUAAAAAAAAAAAGCCCUCAACCAAGUUUUAUAAUGUAACAAUUGCAUAUAAGUUCUCAAAAUUGCCAAAUUUUUAUUUUCAACCAAAAUCUACUAUUUCAAUGCCUGAUUCCAUGAUUCAGGCGUCCGAAACCUUCUGUUCAAGCCCUUUCAGACACCCUCUCAUUCACCCUGUCAUUCGGAAUCCAUCUCAAGAGUGCCUGAAUUACUUUCCCGUUGCCCGAUUCUUGCGCCCAAAAGUUACGACUAGCUGCUGUUAUGAACGAGUUAAUCUCUCCCUCGCAAUCGGCUUUCUUAAAAGAGAGAAACAUUACCGACGCAUACGUAGCAGUCUCUGAACUUAUUAGGUGGGGUUGUAAGGAGGCUACUGAGGGAGUCGGCAUAAAAGUGGACUUCGAAAAGGCUUACGAUAAAAUUUACUGGCCCUUUCUCUUCAGUAUUCUCCGAUGGUGGGGAUUUGAGGAGCAGUGGUGUGAAUGGAUCAAACAAUGUGUGUGCAACGCUAAGGUAGCCAUUUUAGUUAAUGGUGAGGCAACUAACUGGAUCAAAACUAAGAGAGGGAUACGACAAGGAGAUCCACUUUCACCAUUCCUGUUCCUGUUGGUGGCGGAGUGUCUUGCUAGAUUGUCCAGCACGGCAAUCUCAAACAACCUUUUCAUAGGGAUUGGCCCUUUACACGAGAGUUUAACGGCACUUACACAGUUCGCGGACGACACGUUUUUUUUCUCCGUGGCUAGAAAGCGAUAUUUGAGAAAUAUCCGACUGAUGUGGAAUCUCUUCGAGUGGGCAUCUGGGUUGAAAAUCAAUAGAGAAAAGUCCGAGCUUUACUACCUAGGACGGAUUGAGGGUAAAGCGGAGAGACUUGCGCAGUUGCUCGAGUGUAAAGUUGGCUCCCUCCCCACCACGUAUCUAGGCCUACCCCUCUCACCAAAACCCCCCACAAAGGAGGCCUGGAGAGGUGUUAUCCAGAAAGUACAGCACAGAAUAGACGGGUGGCAGGCCAAACUUCUCUCGAAAGGGGGUAGACUUAUCCUUGUCAAUGCGGUCCUCACCAAUCUGCCACUGUACUUUCUGACUGUGUUUAAGGCACCCAAAUGGGUCAUCAAGCGGCUCGAAGCACUACGCAGGGAUUUCUUUUGGAGUGGCCAAUGCGACAUCACUGGCAGGGGGUGUCUGGUUGCAUGGAAAAAUGUCUGUUUGAGCAAACGGGCAGGUGGUUUAGGCAUCCUAGAUUUAGCCGACAUGAAUACGGCUCUCCUAGUCAAAUGGUGGUGGAGAUUUCUUACUGCACCUAAUUUGCCGUGGAUCAAGCUUAUCCGAGUUUUGUACUAUCGGAGAAAAAGACCGUUGUGGGAAGGGAGGGGUUUCCGGCCGUCUUCACACUGGUGGAAGGGGGUGCUUGCCACCAAGGAUAUUUUCAAAUGGGGGACCAACUAUAUACUAGGUAAUGGGGCAUUGGUUGAUUUUUGGCUUGACAGAUGGUGUGGGGACACCACACUCCAGGCGUCCUUCCCGGAGCUGUUCACACAGCGGGGUCGAAAACCGAUCCUGGUCCGAGAUUGCUUGGGAGGUAACGAUUGGGAUUGGAGUAGGAUCUUGAGCGAGGAAACUCCUAGUACGCCGAGCCUGCGUCGCACUCUCGCAAAACUCAAAGAGAGAGUCUCUAGCUUUUGUAUUGGGCAGACUGAGGACAGGAUAGGGUGGAGAUGGGAUAAUAAUAAUACUUUCUCAGUACGAUCGGCCUACCGCAUGUUGAACAACAGGGGCACGAGAGACGGGCGGACUAGCUUGGUUUGGAGACUCCGAAUCCCACUCAAGAUCAAAGUGUUUUGUUGGCUUGUUCUUAAGAAAAGAACACUUACGGCGGUCAACCUCAGUCGGACAGGGUGGUCUGGAAGUACGACUUGUGUGCUAUGUACGGUUCAUGACGAGUCAGUGGAUCAUCUAUUCACCCAAUGCGUCUUUACCAGGUAUAUCAUGGUCGCGGGACUCGAAGAAGUUCAGCCCGGGGAUUUGGGUGAUGAUGUACUUGAAGUCUGGGAUAGGUGGAGGCGUAGGGAUGGUGGGCUAAGAAGGAGGAACGGACUACCCGAGUUAGCAGCGUGCUGGUGGACCAUUUGGACAGCUAGGAACGACGCUAUCUUUCGCGGCAUACAGUUCGACCCUGUAAUUGUGGUGCGCAGGCUCAAGUUCCUGAUUGUCUCUUGGAUUGACCUCCCAUAGUAGUCACUUUUUUUCUUUUUUUCUUUUUUUUUCUUUUUUUUUUUUUUUCGUGUUCACGAGGCCCUCGUUGCCUCACUCCUGUAGCCUAAUUCGCUCUUUCAAUGAAUGAAGCAGGUAGCGUGCUACCUAUUCUCAAAAAAAAAAAAACAUUUAUAACCCUGUUCCUGAAAACCUAAAGAAGAAUGCAAAAAAGGAAACGCAACAUAUAUGGUUUGUGCAAUUGUGCGUAGGGAUGCCAAUGUGUAUGGAUGCCCGAAAUUUUAUUCGAAUCCGACCCCGAAUGGAGCGAGUUUAUUCGAUACUAAAUGAAUAUGGUUUCGGAUAUAGAUAUCAAAAAUAAAAAUCCAACGGAUAUGGAUACGGAUAUAGAGUUUGACUGCACCCGACCCGAACCUGAACCUGACCUGAACCCGAAUUUAUUUUACAUUAUAUAUAAUAUGUAUAUAAAAAUUUGAUGUUAUAUUUGAAUUUGUAUUUUAAAAAAUUAGAUUUAAUGUAAUAUAUUUUGAAAUAUUAAAAAGAGAAAUAAUUGUUUCGAGUUCGAAUUCGAGUUUCGGAUUUUUGGUCGGAUUCGGGUUUGGACAUGGAUUUUUAAAAUCUGUCGGAUUCGGGUUCGGAUUUUGGGUUUGCACUACAACAGAAUUAGGUUAUAGGGACACAUGUUUGGGACACUUUUGAGUAAGUGUCUCAUUUAUGCUAAAACUUAAAAACACAUCUACUAAUGCCUAAAUAUAAAGCCCAAUCCAACCAAAAAUAAAAGAUUACUCUACUCAACCUACCACACCCAGUCUAUUUGGCCCGAUUACAAACAGCAAAGAAAAAAAAAAAAAAAUCAAUUACCAUCUUUUCUUCUCUCUUCACUCAAUCCACUGAAAUUCUAGACGAAGAGCCUUUACUGUCGUCCCCCUCCGCCACCGCAGCCAACGAGAUAUAGUUUCGGCGGUUGCUAAAUGAUUAAAUAAGUGUUGGUAAAUUAGCAGCACUCUUUUAGGUUAUAGCGACACUCUUUAACUGUCACUAUAUACCUAACGACCCCACAUAUAGCAACACUUUUUAAAAGUGUCGGUAAUUUUAGCUAGCAGCACUUUUUUGACAUGUACCUAUAUUUAAAAGUGUCACUAUAGACCGUUUUUGUUGUAGUGUUGGAGUCGGGUUCGGAAUUUUGAAAAUCCGCCCUAAAUCCGAUUGGUUGACAUCCCUAUUUGUGAGUGGUGCUAGUGUGAAAAAAGAGAACAAUGUGAAAAACUGACUACAAAACCCAAAAGUUUUUAAAUUUAUAUUAUUUAUUUAUGCAUGUAUUUGAAUUAAUUUAUAUAUAUAGUAGGUCUUGUGUGCUAUUAGGAGCGCAAAGGCCUCUGUGCUCUUAAGCCGUUUUCGAUGAUGUAAUUUCUGAAUCGACGAUCGGCUCCAUUAGGCUUGAUCUAGCAUAUUUGAAAUAAGUCGAAAAUAAAUUUUGCAGUUUUUCGAUAUCAUUUAUCUAGUAAUCGAAAAAACUUAAAAUCAAUGGCUGAAAAUAAAAACCUUACAAAAAGUUAUGAUAUAGCACUAAAAUUUUAGAUCAGAGAUAUUGAUCCUGUUGUAGAUAGUAUAAAGAAUUUUGUAUCAAAAUUUCAUCUGAUUUAAAUACUUUUACACCAUUAAACUUGAAAAUAGCAUGCAGACAUCAACCAUUAAAAAUUAUUAAUUUUAAACCUUUUAAAUCACUAGAUAAAUGAUAUCGAAAAAUCGCAAAAAAUAUUUUCUAUAAACUUCAAAUAUGCUAGAUCAAGUCUAAUAGAGCCGAUCGUUGAUUCGAAAAUUCUAUCAUCGAAAACAGAUAUAUAUAUAUAUAUAUAUAUAUAUAUAUAUAUAAUUAGGCUGGAAUACUAUUAAUAGUAAAACGCUCUUUUUACUAUCAAGUUUUUAAUCCUUGGAUGAAAAAUUGUAGGGUCAGGAUGAUAUUAGUCGGUUAGAGUUGAGUGGUCCCCCUAGGGUUGAGUGGUCCCCACUGGGUUAUAGUAUUUAAUCAAUGGUUAAAAUAAUGAAAGAGUUGAUCCAAAUGGCCUAAAAAAUUGGGUAGCAACAAUGAGAUUUUGCUACUAAUAGUAGCCCAGUCCAACUCUCUCUCUCUUCUCUUCUCUCUCUCUCUCUCUCUCUCUCUCUCCUCUCUCUCUCUCUUCUCUCUCUCUCUCUCUCUAUUAUAAUAUAUAUAUUAUAUAUAUAUAUAUAUAUAUAUAAUGAUCUCCUAUGCUUUUAAAGUACCAAGUUAUUUGUGCUUGUAGAUUUAGCCUAUAGAUUAAGAGAUAUGCAGUUAGGAUGCUUGUGGGCCCCCUGGGUUGAGUGGUGUGGUUUGUGAAUAGUAUAAUCUAAUGGCUGAAAAUGAUCCGAGGAGUAGAUCUAACGGUAAAAAACUUACCAGCACUAAGUGCUUUGGUGCUUUUACAAGCACCACAGCUGGGACUCUAUAAUAAUAUAUUAUAUAUAUAUAGCAGUGCCUGCUGUUGCUCAGGAGCACGGAGGCCUGCUGUGGUCCUGAGCCUUCGAUGAUGGAUUUUCGAAUCGACGAUCAGCUCGUUAGACUGAUCUAGCGUAUUUGAAGUUUCUAGAAAAUAAUUUUUACGAUUUUUCGAUAUCAUUUUAUCUAGCAAUCAAAAGGAUUAAAAUCAUAAUAUUUUUAAUUGUUGAAAUAAAAUUCUAUUAAAAGUUGGUGAUAUAGCACUAAAUUUUUCAAUCAAAAUAUUUGAUCUUGUUGUAGGAUAGUAUAAAGAAUUUUGUAUCAAAAUUUCAUCUAAUUUGAAUACUUCUACACGUUAAACUUGAAAACGGCAGAUAUCAACCAUUAAAAAUUAUGGAUUUUGAAUCUUUCGAUCACUAGGUAUAUGAUAUCAAAAAUAGCAAAAAUUAUUUUCUAGAAACUUCCAAUAUCCUAGAUCAAGUCUAACGGGCCGAUCGUCGAUUCGAAAAUUCUAUCAUCGAAAACGACUCAGGACCAUAGCAGGCCUCGUGCUCCUAAGAGCACAGCAGCCCUGCAUAUAUAUAUAUAUAUAUAUAUAUAUAUAUAUAUAUAUAUAUAUAUAUAUAUAUUAUAAUAUAUACUAUAUAUAUAUAUAUAGUCCAGUUGGGAUACUAUCAAUAGUAUCAAGCGCUUGGUGCUACCGAGUUUUCCGCCAUUAGAUUUAACACUUUGACUAUUUUCACCCGUUAGAUUAUACCAUUCAACCAAUAACUCACUAAAUCCUAGGGGGCCCAUAUCAUCCUAACCGUACAUUUUAAAUUGACGACCGGAAGUUGUACUGGUACUACCUGCAAGCUGCAUUGUUAGAAGGGUUGUUGCACCAUUUCUCUUUGCAUUGCUCUUUCGUGUUGCACUAUUAUUUCUAUUGCCGGCCGUGUAGUUUUUGUCAUGUAGCUUUAGUAUAUUUAAUUUGUAAAAGCCGAACAGCAAACACCGCAGUCGACGAAUAGUGGGGCCGAUUUGGUUCGCAUUCCAAUGAGUAGGAGGUUGCUUAACAUUGCUCGGGGCACAUUUAAUGCCCGCCUAAGGGCCAUACAUUGUGGUAUACGUAUCUAAGAGAAUACAUGAGAGGCGGAUGGAGAUGUAAAAUUCGGCCCGAGUCUGUAAAAUCGAAAAACGUGGCCCACUUUUGCAAAAUCUUAAAACUAGUGAAUUUUUUUUAUGCAAAUUGGCCUAUUUUUAUUUGUAUUUUAAACAUUUUAGAUUUAAUAUAAUAUAUUUUAAAAUAUGAUAAAGAGAUUUGAUUGUUUUGGAUUUGGAUUUUUCAAAUUUGAAUUUUUUGUCGGGUUUGAUUUUCUUAUAUGAAUUUUUAAAAUUUAUUAGAUUUGAAUUUGUUGGAAACGUGAUUUUCUCUUAUAUCAAUUGUUGAAAUCGGUAUUUGCGCUGAUAUCGAUUAUGUAACCCAAUGUCUAAAAUAAAAUAAAAUAAUAUGGAGAAGAGAUAUUGGGAAGAAAAAGAAAACUAAACUAAUACUUUAUUAAUAAAUAUAUUUAAUUACACCAGCAAUACCUAUGUAGCCAUAUCUAUUGUGACUUAUUCGUUUCAUUAAUUCAUGCCUAACUAUAUGUAGCUAUCAAGUCAUAAAAGAUGAUAAAUUCAACUUUUUACUUUAGAUAACUACAAAUCCUACUCUAAUUACAUCAAUAUAUAAUUUAGAUAUAUUCUAUCUCUAACUAAAUUUUAAAUUAAGUUUGGAUUAUUAUUCCAACAUCCUCACUUAGUCCAAACUUCAUCUUCGAGCCGCAAAUCCCAUUAAAUGCGCACUUUGAUUUUGCAAUUCCGGAUGCGCACCAAGAAAAUCGCGUUUCUAAUAAUUAAUAUGAGACUUCCUACAGAAUUCGAAUCUGAAUUUUGAAUUUGAUUGUCGAAUUCGAAUGUGAGUUCUGAGCCCAGAAUCUGACCGUUGACAUCCCUGCAGGAGAUGCCAAACUCGGGUCUGGAACAAUUACUCGGCAAUUAAUGGCCCCCUCCUUCCACCUAAUUACCAGACACAUCACAAAACCAUUUUAAUUUCCCCCUUAAAAACUAAAAAUAAAAAUAAAAUAAUUUCUUAAAAAAAAGGAAACCAUUGUCCUUUUGUCUUUCUCCUCUAUANAUCACAAAACCAUUUUAAUUUCCCCCUUAAAAACUAAAAAUAAAAAUAAAAUAAUUUCUUAAAAAAAAGGAAACCAUUGUCCUUUUGUCUUUCUCCUCUAUAAAUUAUUUCUCUUGUGAUCUCUCUCUCCCUGCUGUGGAAUCCCCCAAAAGGGUCCUUCCAAACUGAUCAGAUAUUAUUUAAUUUAUUAUCUUUUGGACCUCGUCCACCACAUUAAUUGAAUAUAUAUUAAUCUAUAAUUUAUGUGAAAUAAUGUACUAUUAAUCUAAUAAUUUAAGUUAGGAGAAAAUAGUUAGGUUCUGGCCGUGCACUAUAUUAAAUGGAAAAAGAUUACAUUUCGCAACUAAAAACAUAUAUAGUUUCAUUGAGUUCGACCUUAAUUAGGAUCAACAGUAUGCUCUUUUGUUAUGUGAAAUCACCAAUUUCUGCAGCAUUCAAGCUAUUAGCGAACCAUGUUUUAAUGGUAUAUGUUUAAUAUUGAAAAAUAAAUUAAGAGAUACAUUUGAUACUGGAGUUUAAAAAUAAGGUAAUUAAGAGUGUAUGAAACCUAUCCGAGAACUACGGAUCAUUUGAAUUUGGUUAUUCAAUUUUUUAAACUCUUGAUUUUUAACGGCACUUUAAUUUCAAAAAUUUAAAUACAUCGUUUAUCUUUACAUAUUCAGUAUAUUAUGCAAUUUGCACAAUUAUAAUUAACUAUACUAAAGUAAGUAAUUAGUUUAAAUUUUAGAGUAAAAGUGAUUUGGCUGAUUCAAAAUCAAAUAAUUAAAUUGAAAGAUUAGAUAAUAAAAUCAAAUUUUUUUUGAAAGGUCGUACGGCCAAAUCCAAAUGAUAUAUAAUUCAGAUAAGUUCCAUAUAUAUAUUUUUACCCAAAAAUGAAGAUAAAAUGGAAGACAUACAUAAUUAAUUAUAAGUAAUGUGUGGUCCAUGACUAAUUACAUGGGAGACAAGAAGUCCAUGAAAUCUCUAAAGUCCAAUUACUCGAGCCAAAAUCCUAGUCCAUGCAUGCACUCUCCAUGCAAUUAAUUUCUGCAAAUGUCCCUCCCUUGUCCUACUCUUCUCUCCUUGCACCUCAUGAAGUCCCCAAUAACCACCAUGCCUUUCAUACUUCUCUCUCUCUCUCUCUCUCUCUCUCUCUCUCUCUCUCUCUCUCUCUCUCUCUCAAGGAAGAUCUUUCUCUCACAUCAUUUUCCUUUUCCUUCUCACUCUCUAUCAUCAUCCCCUCCCAAUCUCCUUCACAAAUGGGUAUUCUCCUAAAAGGCACAACUCCAGUGUUCCUCCUCCUCCUCCUCCUCACCAUCUUGAACUCAUCUUGCUGUGGUGCAAGAACCAUGGGCACCCUCAACGCGAGGCCGGCCGCUGCGAAGAACAGCUCGGGGGCCUACCUCGGGUUGCUACCGAGGGCGAUCCCGAUCCCUCCUUCGGGCCCGUCGAAGCGACACGACUCCGUUGGGGCGCAGAGCCAUAGAUCACCUUAGAGGAAGGUGGCGUGCAUGCCUGCAGCUAGCCGGCUGCUGCAAGGGAAGUCAUUCGAUCAUUGACUUUGGCGCUUCGUGCUGGAAGGCGCACUAACAAACUAAGUGCACCGCACGCAAAGGUUUAAUAUGAGUCUUGUAUCUCACUUUCUGUAAGAUCUAUACCUAAAUACAUAGUUGGCAAAACUUAGUUACUUUACAUUUAUAUAUAAUACUGAAAUGGCAAUGUGAGAAAUAUGAAUCAAAGCCUUCACGUUACAAUUUGUUAGUGCACCUUAGCUGAUUCUCGUUUUAAUCAUAAUAUAUUCUACAAUUAGGGUUUUUUUUUUAUUUUAUUUCGAUACAAAUAUGCAAAGCUUAGCUGAAUUAUGACUAUUUUGAAUUGACAGUGCAACCAUCCCCAAUUUUGGAUUUUACUAUUCAAUAUUCAAUUUGUUUAAUUUGAGUUAGUAACGAUAUUUUAGUAUACUUCACGCAGUUUUCAUAACUAUAAAUUCAUUAAAUUAGGCAAGUAAUUUAUAUUUUGAAGUCAAAAUGAUGUUGAUUGACUCGAAUCAAAAAAAUUAAAAUAUUAAAUAGUAAAUUAAAAUUUUAAAAAAUUUAGUAGUCAAUUCAAAAUGAUCCAUUGANAUCAAAAAUAUUGAUCUUGUUGUAGAUAGUAUAAAGAAUUUUGUAUCAAAAUUUCAUCUAAUUUGAAUACUUCUACACCGUUAAACUUGAAAACGGCAGAUAUCAACCAUUAAAAAUUAUGGAUUUUGAAUCCUUUCGAUCACUAGGUAUAUGAUAUCAAAAAAUAGCAAAAAUUAUUUUCUAGAAACUUCCAAUAUCCUAGAUCAAGUCUAACGGAGCCGAUCGUCGAUUCGAAAAUUCUAUCAUCGAAAACGACUCAGGACCAUAGCAGGCCUCCG
rnacentral:lncRNA from 1 species